CCUUGGGGAGAGGAAUUCAGCAAGAAUGAGAAACAAACUCCGAGUGUAGACCACAAUCAAAAUUCUAAUUUUAUAGAAACAGUUAUUUAUUCAGGGGUCUAUAAUAAAAUGUCCUGCUCUGUACAACAGUCAGUAAGCCAACAUGCAAUAAGCUGAGCUAGAAAAACAAGUCAAAACAUAAAAUAAAAGAGAAAACAUGACAAACACUGUUUUCACACACAUGUACAAACUAAAUGUGAGAAGACACAAUGAAGAUUCUCCAUUAAUAAAUAAGUGAUAUAAGUAAAACCAAAAUAAGAUAGAUGGCAAAAGGUCAGUGACUAGGCUAAUAAAAUUCCCAAACAAUUAAAACGUCAACAAUUAAAAAUGAAUGCAUGCAGUGAACAUCCCAGAGAGGGCUGGGCGAGGAGACAAAGACAGCAGAGUCACUGUAUGAAAACACAGGAGGAUACUCCCUGCUUCAGCAGUUUCCCCAAUGUACACAAUAUGAAUAAAACCAAUAAAACAAACCCCCGACCACACAGCCAAUCUAAACCUUCCCCAGCGUUAUGAUAUACAAUUACAGUACCACAGGAGAAAGUCGUGCAGCUUCGGCCUUGCUUGCUCUGGAACUGUUGACUGGAAUCGCCAGCUGUCUUUUUAAUGAGACGCUGACUUUUCUUUCAGUUAGGGUGUUAGGGUGGCUCACCAGCAGCUCACCGGCAGACCAAAUAGAGAGUGUGAACAGGGACAGACACAGAUAAGACAUGUGAGAAGUCUUUGGGGUGUAAACAAUAUAUAUUCUGUUGUGCCUUUUAUGAGGUUUCCUUUAUAAAGCGAAGACAGUGCUUUUCUAAAAGCACGUCUCAGGGUGAUGUCAGUGUUUCACUACAUGUGGAGUCACUGAUAGUUUUACAGGGUGCAUUAGUCAUUUAGUGAGUAAUGUGAGCUUAGCUUUAUUCUGGGUAACUGGACUUCUUUUACUGGAACUUGUAAAUUGUAUUGUAAAACAUGACUGCAAAUUUUGAUGGGGAAUAGACAAAAAGGGAGAAUACUAAAUAGAGUAAUAUAAAAUCUUAUUACAAAUAAUAAAAUAUUAGAUUGAUAAGUCAACAGUUACAAUCUCUUGUAUAUAUAUAUAUAUAUAUGUAUAUAUAUAUACAUAUAUAUAUGACCAUUAUGGAUAACAUUAAUGACAAUGAUAAUAUGGGGUCCAGCCCAAUAAUCUAAAGCCUGUUUAUAUAAUAAACAAGAAGAUGAUGGAUGUCUAUUUUUUUUUCAGGGGUAUUGCAGGAUGAGGGGACACAUCAGCUGGCAGUGUCACUUGUUCAGAGGAGCAGAGAGCACAGAGUAGUAGCCAGGGGGAGUGAAGCGGUGUCUUUUAUGGUGAGAGUUGUAUUCCACUCGAAUUCAAACCACAGGGUGUCAGUGAGCCUCAGGGACCCCCGGACCUCUGGUAUGUUCACACGAUCCUGACCACCAUUGAGACUCUUUAUCACACUGUAUUCCAUUAUUUGCUGUAUGUAUGUGGGGUUUUUUUGUAUGAUAGCUUGAAGGCAUGGUUUGUAUUAGAAGUAGGCUCUUUCUCCUUAUUUUUACAUAUUUUACAUAUUUUGAUUUUUUGACUUGAUUUCUAAUUGCAGUUUCUCUUAUUUCUCACAAUUUCUAGAGAGAUGAGGCUGAGCCAAUAGGGAAAUGACUAAAGAAAAUAACAAAUUAUUACUUUUUUAUGAUUUGUGGAUAUAACAAUUCUAAAUAUAUAACAAUGAAAAAUAGGCAUUAGAAGUAAAGGCAUCACAAAGAGGAUGGGGUAUGGCAACAGGUGGGAAAUAAUAGCCUGUAGCUGGCCAAGAAGUUUUACUGUGGACGUGAUAUUUUUGUAAAAUCUUGGUAAAAGUGUGACUUUUUGAUGAAUCAUCUGCAAGCGGACCACUUCCAGGUUUGAGGACAUGAAGUGAAUGCUAAUAGGGGCUUUUCUAGUGCACGUCCAGCACUUGGCAGAGCCUUACUUCCACUUACUGCAAAUGGAAGGGCAAUGGUCAAGUUUCAUUUGUAUUUGCAUUUGGAUGUAAACCUACAAAAUGAAAAUGGUUGUGGUCCUUAUAGAACCCUACAGGUUUUGAGCUAUGCCACUAGCAUGCUCUGGAGACGGCAGCACCUAUUUGGUUGACUACAGUUAAUCUGUCAGUCUAAAAGUCUGGCCCAGGGAAUUAUUGGAUCAACUAUUGGAUGGCAGAGGCCAUCAAAGUUUUUUUUUUUGUUUUUUUUUUUUUUUUUUGGAUGGUGAGUUAAUAUAUCGUUUAUAUUGUUAAUAUAUAUACAACUUUAGUCAUAUAGAAUUCAGGAGAAUAAAUUAGAAUAAAUAUGUAAGAGGAAAAUGUUGAUACUCCCAGCAGCUUCAUAUUACCCCCCCCCUGUCAUUAUACCUUUGUCCACCUGCUGGCUUGCUUAAUUGUUAACCUCUGUGGCUCCUAGAUGCCAUCCAUAUUGCCAUUGCCUAAUCAGUGUUUCUCAUGAAUUAACCACUUGAAUACCAAGCAUACAGUGUACAUGACUUCCCAUGUUGUAACCACAAGCUCACAAAUGCCAUUUGAAGGCAGCAUAUGUGUCACUUUUAGCUCAGAGAACGUAUGUGUGUCAAUAAAACUAGCAGUGCUCUACAGGAAAGCAGCAAAGUCUGUAAAGUUUCCCAGAGUUUGCAUCCUUGGUAAGCUUGUUUAGACAUAAGCUGUAGAGAAACUCAAAAGCUGUUGCAUGCAGUUUUAAGUUACUGUCUUUUGUAUCUGUUAAAGUUGCAUAUGCAACUUGAAUUUUCGUUAUUUUAAAAAGCUUAAUACAUAAUUUAAUGUGUAGUGUAUAAGUAUGCAAAGCCAGGGCUACACUGAUAACUGUGUCCAGCUUCAUUAGGUGAAAUGCCUCAUGAGCAGCAGUUCGUGCUUAUUUUGUAGUUUUCACUGUGCUGGAAAUGUUUCCUCAUGACAGAAGAAUAAAAUACUGUACCUGAGACCAGAGACCGAUCUGCUGUAAUUUGAUGCAGCUACACAUAUUUUAUUAGCUAGUGUUGAGGAAUUGCCAAACACAAACUUGCUAUUCAUAAUCAGUAUAUAAACUAUACAAUAGCAGGACACUAUGCUCAACUGCAUUUUGGAGCACUGAAAAAAAUCUCUCCCUCUCACAGAGGAGGAGAUACUGUCAAUAGAUUGCUGUGUUGUCCAUUCCAGUGUAUUAAAUAGAUGUUAGACAUUAACCAAUAUUUUUUAUGAGGCAGGAAAUGUAUCAUGGAGCUGGAGCCAGUCCCAGUUGACACUGGGCGAGGGGCGGGGUACACCAGAUGGCCAGUCAAUCACAGGGCUGACAUGUAUAGACAAACAACCACUCACACUCACACCUAUAGGGAAUUUAGAGUCACCAGUUGACCCAAGCAUGUCUUUGGACUGUGGUGGGAAGCCAGAGUACCUGGAAGAAACAUAAACAGGUGAACUCCAAACCAGGGUUCGAACUCUGAACCUUCUUGCUGUGAGGUGAUAGUGCUAACCACUACACCACCGCGCCACAUCUAUAAAGACAGUGUGAAUGGAAAUAUGAGGAAAAUUCCACUGGCGCUGUUAAUUUAAUCCACAAGUUCCCUUGGUUCUUUUGGUACCAUCAUAAAGGCUGUUAGAGGAUCCUAACAGCCACCUGACAGCCUGGAGGGAAAAGCUUUACUGAGUCUGUCUGAUCUGAGAUCAGCUGUGCUUCCCCACAGUCUUGGUCACCCUGUAGUGAUGUCACAUACAGCAUGACCUCACUGUGAGAGGAGAGAAAAGACUAAAGAACUACACUGAAGACAUCACUACCCUCACCCCCAUCAUUGUCAUCACCAGUAAAACCAGUGCGACCAUCUUCAUCACUAUCAUCGUCUUCAUCAUUGUCAUCAUCAGCACCACUGAAACCAGUGCAAUAAUCAUCUUCAUCACUGUUAAUAUCUUCACCACUAACAUCACCUUCAUCACUAUUAUUAUCCUGAUCACUCUCAUCACCACCAGUAAAACCAGUGCGACCAUCAUCUUCAUCAUUACUAUCAUUUUAAUCACCGUCAUCACUAUCACCAUCUUCAUUACUGUCAUCAGUGCCAUCAACACCACUGCCAUCAUCAUCAUCACUGUCUAUGUCUUCAUCACUAUCAUCUUCAUCACUGUCAUCAACACCAGUAAAACCAGUGCGACCAUCAUCAUCAUCACUAUCAUCGAUCUUCAUCGUUGUCAUCAUCAGCACCACUGAAACCAGUGCAAUAAUCAUCUUCAUCCCUGUCAUCAAUACCAGUACCACCACUACUCUCAUCAUCAUCACUAUUAUUAUCCUGAUCAUUGUCAUUAACAGCAGUAAAAUCAGUGCAACCAUCAUCUUCAUCACUGUCAUCAAUGCCAGUAAUAUCAUGAUAGUCAUCAGCAUCAUCUUCAUCACUGUCUUCAUCACUAACAUCAUCUACAUCACCAUCAGUACUAUUAACUCCACUACUGUCGUCAUCAUCACCACCACCUCUUCUGACAUCAUUAUCACAGCUGAACCUCCAUCAUCAUCAUUCCAGUAAAAACAAAGCAAUCCAUUCUUCUUGCUUUACGGCCUGCUGCUUUACUUUUAUUAAGGGCGCAGCAUCACAUUUCUCCGGGACGCGCACUGGCCGCCGUGAGCGCGCAGAGGCGCCAUCACGUGGGAGGUCCCUUUAAGUUUCCACUGACAGAGGCCUGAGCGUGUCACAUGGACAUGAUAUAAUGAAAGGGCAGGAACAGAGAGCCAGAGUGCGCUGAGCUCUUGGCUGAUGGAGAACGGGCCGAGACGCAUGCAGUCAUCUGCCGACAACCAGCAGCCCUGUGGGGAAGAGGGACAGAAGGGCCGAGGCGAGCCGAGCCCAGCCGAUCCUGGCCGGAAUGGGCCGAGCCGGACUCACUGCGCUUCAUCGGACGGGACCUCUCUAUUCGCAGUUGCACCUGCCAGCUAUGACACGCACUUUAAAAAGAGGAGGAAAAUGUCGCCUGGCCCCGGAGCAGAAGAGGAGCGUCGUUCAGCGCACAGAGGCACAGAGGCAGGCAGACAGACAGAUGGACAGACGGAGCAGCAGGGAGGAUGACAUCACCAUCACCGUGGGGCUCUGUUUUGGCAUGUCAACUCCCGGGAGAGAAUAGGACAGGGAGCUAGAGUGAGCGCCGACAACAAGGAAGAAACAGGAGGUGUAUGUGUGUGUGUUUGUGUACCCCUCACUAACUCCUGCAGAGGGUAUGCCUCUACUGUUUCCAUUUCAUUUUAGUUUCUUUUAGCCCAGUUUUGACCCUUACAAAACCUUUGAACAAACGGAUCGCUUUUCAAACUGUGCUCAGACCCUCUGCUAUGACAAGAAUGAAACAUUAAAGUAUUGCGAGCAUUUCAUGGCCAUGGACAGACUCAUCCCUCCCUCUGUUAUCUCUACCUGCUUAUCCAGUGCAGGCUCUUGAGACAGGGUGAGAGACAGGGUAUCAUAUCACACGCUGCUUUUGUGCACUCUAGCAUUUCCAGGUGAGACCUCUGUUAACAGUUGAACACCCGAACAAAAGAAAAGCUACUAAAUCUCCUCUUCCUCUUUUGUUUAAGAUGACAGGGUGUCCUUAACUUUGCUGGCACGUAGCCUCCCACCCUCACUGGGCAGCUUACAUCAUUGUUUUGCCAGUAAGCUCUGUUUACCCUGUGCACACUAGAACACCAAGUUUGCAUAAGAUGCAAGGUAUUGGGGGAAAACUUAGUUCUGGAGGGAGAAAAAUGACAUUUUAGUCUGGAUGGAGGGCUGAAGUGAAGUGAGAUGUUCCCAUCAUCACCUGCAUCAGUUUCCAUCCACUGAUCUAUCUGCUGUGUUGUGCUAUUUAUUCCCCCAGAAUUAGAACUAGUUUGUGUAUCUGACAGCACUGCUGCUGCACAGCUGACCCUGACCUUUGACCUCAACAAACUAGAGACAGGAGAGAUGAGGAUUUUACCUGGAUAAACAGUCAGUCUUAGCACCCGCUUUUAGAUGUCAAGUCGCCCUCUUGUGCCUAUAUGUGGAAUUACAGGAUUCAGGCAGUGUGAUAAACCACAUCAUAUGACACCCAUCCAUCAAACACCUGUAAGAGCCACUACUACAAUGCAAAAUUGACUGACAAGCCUGGUCAGUUGCAUAGGUUUUUGUGCUGUGACAUGAGACACUCUGGUGGUAAAAUCUGACUUAUUUAAGCCUGUCAAGCUCUGGAUGUUAAAGCAGUUUGCAUGGGCUAUAGGGAAAACAAUACUCUGUAUUUUAAGGGUCUGUAUUGUACCUUUUGUUUAGACCCAUCCACAUUAAGCUGGUUAAAUUUGUAAACACAUCUUUUUCUCACCAUUUUAACAAGUUUCUGUCUUUCUCUGUAAUCAUGUGUUUUAAAUGUUGGUGUUAGAACUAUAAGCUAAUGAUUUGGAAAGCCAGACUCUGUCCUACUCCGCACCGGAUGUUGGCUGGGAUGCACGGUGUUGUUAUUUGCAAAAUGAAAAGAGGAGGAACUAGAGGAUUAACAGGUUUUAUGUUGAGCAGGUGUUUCCCUGUGAACAGAGCUCUCCACCAAAAUAACUUGGAAGCGUUAAUGUGUAAGUGCCAGGAUUAAAUAAUGUUUAAUUUAUCUGCACAGUUACUGUGUAGUAAAUGCAUACAAUACAUGCAUACCAUUUACUUUUGUAAUGCUACCAGUUUACAUAAGCUAAGCAGUCAAACAGGGUUUUUCAAUUUCAUACAACUACACUGCAAUACAAGAACAAUGCUGUUUCUUUAUGUCGGUGUCUUCAACAUGGAAAUAUAGACUGGUGUUGAUGCUUGUUAGCUUAUUUAGCCUCUGACUUUUAGCACAUUAACAAUGGUGCAAGUGCAUAUUUAAGAUUCUUUUGCAGGAAUCUGCGAGUUACCUCAGACCAUAUUUUCAAGCAACACGUGGAACUAAUAUUAUCUUAAUUGACUAGCUAACUACAGCUGAACAGUUGUAGCUGACUAGAAGCACAUUUGUGUGAAAUCAAGGACUGGAGUGGUAAAUUGGCCACCAUUAUCACUGUAAGCUGCAGAAGUGAACAAACUCACAGAUUUACCACUUUUUUAACAGUUGUUGAAGUAUACUGUUGUGUGUACAUGCACACCUGCAGGACAGGUAGAGUCAGUUGCAUUCAAUGUCACAUAGGUGUAGCUCAAGGGAAGUUAAAUGAGCUCUUGUUACUCUAAAGGGUUGUGGAUUCAUACUCCAUAAAUACAUGUUACUAACUUGAUGUCCUUUCCUGUAGUUUUGUUCUCUUUUGUCUCUCUCUCCUCUUCUGUCUCUUUCUGCAGGUAUUUCUGCCUCUGGAGCUGUAGAGUCUGAUCUGUGAUGACAAAUCUCCUGCUGCUCCUACAACCAACAAAUUAUUAGUACUGCUUCUAGUAUUACUGCCACUAUUGUAAUUACUACUCCACUUGGAAUUACUAUUAUUACCCCUAUAGUGUUACUGAUACCACUUUGCAUUUUUACAUGGCAUCUGCAUUAUGGUAUGUUGUCCUGUCCCUACUCUCAACCCUAUUCUACCUCCCUACACGAUCAAUGAGUAGGUAUGAGGAUGUAAACACCAUGUCAUCAGUAUAUUUUAAGUCUAAAAUAACACCAUGCUUAGUAUGUAGCUGACAUCAUCUGGUAUGAAUUUCUCUUAACAUAGACGGUUCUGUCAUGCGCUCUCAGCCCUGUCUGCUGUGAUGUCUUUCUGUUUGAAUUCCUCUCUGCUGCUGGAGGUGAAUUUUCAUGUGCCAGCCACUGCCAUGACAACCAAAUACAUGUUUAAGAAGAAGCACUGUCAUGUUUCUCCUCAUCUGACAGGACAACUCAUCCUCUGACAGACUGACACAAGAGUGAUGUCAGUAUGACUGAACCAACCUGACAUCUGUGUGUGUUUUCGAUGCAUGACUGACUGAUCCAUGUUCUUGUGUUUGCAUUACUUACAUUACUGUGUUGAAAUGUGAUAAGGAAUGGGUUUUAUUAUUUAUAGUAUCUGUUAUAUGUAGUAUUUAUUAUUAGAAGCAGUAGCAGUAGUUUUGGUCUGUACCAGAUUCUUGACACAGCCAUGACAAAUUAUACAUAGUUUGAAAGCUCUAUAGAUUUCAUAAGACUGCACCACCUAAUGUGCCGCCCAGGAACCACCAUAGCGUCUAUCAUUUCAGUUUUUCACUACUGCUUUCUCCUGUUGUUUAGCCAUCACCACUCAGAUGUACCUGUACGCUAUGUCAGUCAUUUGAUUAUGGCGCUCCAUGUGUGCUUUCAGUCCAGGUUUUUCCAGCCACUGGUAGGAUUUCUUGGCAUCAGCCACUUCUAUCAGUCAGUGAUACAUGCCGUGCAGAGGCUUGUCCUCCUCCUCCUCAUCAUCACUGGGUUUCUGCUGCCCGAGGUAUUCACUUACAGUUCAUCGUUGGGGGCCAUUUCUCCUGAUAUACUCCUGUAUCUUUAUAACAAAACCAACAUCCAGCUUGUAUUCAAGUUCCUGCUUCUUAUGUAGAUAGUGAAAUGAAAUAAAAUAAUAGUGUAAAACAUAACACAUAAUUGUCACUCCCUGCCAUUGGUCCAUCUCACCGCUGCAGCUGUGGUUGAACACCAAAACAUCUUCCCCCAGAAGCUGGUUUCACGUGGUGGUUUAGAUGUGUGUUUCUGUUGUCUAGCACCAUUUGAAAUCAGUGUUCUUGGUGACAGUAGGACAGCUCUGGCAGUUGGUGAGCCUUAGAAGACGAGCACAGGAUAGCCCCCCCCCCCCCCCCCCUUUCUCCACUAAAAGAUAACUGAUUUCCUCUGGUGCUUAGAGUCCGCUGCAGCCUUCUAGCACCAUUUGAAAUCGGUUAUAAAACUGUGGAUCAAUGCGUGAUGUUAGUCUUCAGCAGAACAACCAGAGGAAAGUAACUAUUGGCUUCCUGAGCUGGAAGAGAUCACGCCAUAAUUUGAAGGAGAGUCAUAAAUGUUUUUGUUAACUUCUGCCAUUCAUGAAUAACAACUUGAUCUCAGCUCGAAUAAAUAUAUUUUACUUGUAUUUGUUGAAAAA